GUGAUAGUGGGUCGCGUGCAGAGUCGCGGCCGUCGGCGACGGUACCCAGGCCGUGUUCGCGCCCGCCUUCGGAU
rnacentral:sRNA from 1 species